rnacentral:rRNA from 1 species
GAUGAACGCUGGCGGCGUGCCUAAUACAUGCAAGUCGAGCGAACAGACGAGGAGCUUGCUCCUCUGACGUUAGCGGCGGACGGGUGAGUAACACGUGGAUAACCUACCUAUAAGACGGGGAUAACUUCGGGAAACCGGAGCUAAUACCGGAUAAUAUAUUGAACCGCAUGGUUCAAUAGUGAAAGACGGUUUUGCUGUCACUUAUAGAUGGAUCCGCGCCGCAUUAGCUAGUUGGUAAGGUAACGGCUUACCAAGGCAACGAUGCGUAGCCGACCUGAGAGGGUGAUCGGCCACACUGGAACUGAGACACGGUCCAGCCUCCUACGGGAGGCAGCAGUAGGGAAUCUUCCGCAAUGGGCGAAAGCUUGACGGAGCACCGCCGCGUGAGUGAUGAAGUUCUUCGGAUCGUAAACCUCUGUUAUUAGGGAAGAACAAAUGUGUAAGUAACUAUGCACGUCUUGACGGUACCUAAUCAGAAAGCCACGGCUAACUACGUG